AGGCCAAGAUACGCUCAAUGAGGGAGGAGUAUGAACAAAAAAUCAUAGCAAUGGAAGAAAGUGACAAGGAACAGGAUGAGAAGGAGAAGCAGCAGAAUUGCCAGUUGCAAAAAGAGAUCGACCGAUUAAUGGAAGAAGAGCUCUCCUAUAAAGAACAGAUAAAAAGACUACAAAAGGAGGUAGCUGAUCUAUAUGAGAAGUACCGUUUUGAGGCUGAUGCAAGGAGACUUCUACAAUGACUUGAAAGCUA